GAAAAGUCUAUUUAGAUCUUCUGCUCAUUUUUUGAUUGGGUUGUUUGUUUUUCUGACAUAGAGUUACAUGAGCUGCUUACAUAUUUUUUGAGAUUAAUCCCUUGUGAGUUGCUUCACUUGCAAAUAUUUUCUCCCAUUCUUUGAGUUGUCUGUUCAUCUUGUUUAUAGUUUCCUUUGCUGUGCAGAAGCUUUUAAGCUUAAUUAGGAUAGAGAAACUUUAAUGAUGUAUUUACAUAACUUCAGAGUAUCUCUCCUAUAAAACACUUGUAAUUUUGAUGGGAAAAUCAGAGAAAUCCAAAUUAUGAAACAUUCUACAAAAUAACCAUGCUGAAAUCCUAAAAAAAUUGUAGAGGUCAUGAUCGUCAAGGAAAGAUGCAGAACUGUUCCCCACUGAAGGAAACUAAAGAGAAAUGGAAACCAAAUGCAUUACCAUGAUUCUGAAGUGGCUCCUUCUGCCAUAAAGAAUAUUUUGGGGACAACCAGUAAAACUUGACUGAGGACUAAAGACCACAAAGAGAAGUGGGCCCAGAAGUGAAAAGCGAGCACUGCCUACAUUCCUGAGGCUUCUUGCCCCAUUCUUGUCCCUCCCGAGACCCAGCAGCAUUUCUACCCAUGGAUUCUGUGCAUUUCUCCUUCUCUUGGAAUCUUGCAGAAUCCCUAAAGAGGAACACAGAAAGGGGUGAGCAAAGGACCUCAAAGGCUUGGCCAGCCCGCUGGUACUGACGGAGGUUCCCUGUGUCUCCAAUCCACUGCCAUCGUGGUCGGCCAAGUCCAUCAACCUGUUUCUCAGCAACUGUGCUCUCACACCUGUCAGCCAGAAGUAAGAAAUUCCAGUCCAGGAGUGUCGUCUCCUGACAACUUUGCCUACAAUCACAGCACGCCUUGGGGGCUUACUAUAUGUGCAUGGUUGAGAAGUGACAGAGUCCCUGCAGACGGCUAAUCCCCACGACCCUGACAGCUGGAGAUGGGGGCCAACUGCCCACAGAGGCACCCUGGUCUGCGUUCAUUUCCGCCACUCUGUUCUGGGAAGUGUACACACCAAUGCUGGCUUUAUGUGUCACAGUGAAAGCAAACCCCAAUGCCCUGGUGCUGGGUUUCAGGUCCUCUUAGGAGAAAACCCUGGGAGUGCGUGCACCUCCCCUCAGGCCAGCCACACCAGGCCAGCUCUCAAAGGCCUCUGGUGUCUCCCUUUUCUCUCAUCUUUCCCCACUCUGAUAAAUGUCUUGGGAUUAGCCCUUCUGUGUUUAUUGGAUGAGCAAUUUGUGUCUGUCUGAAAAGCUGCGUCUGAAUAAUAUUUGGCACGAGCUGAAGAAAUGUGAUCUGCCACGUUCCCCUCCAGGCAGCUCUCAAGCCAGCACAUCUCCUGCCAACAGGAUUGCAUGGCUCUGCAGCUGGGUCUCCAGCUGAAACGUGUGUGGAGUGGGAAGCAGGGAGGGGAGUGGGUCAAAGGGUGAGGGAGGUGCCUGGGGUGGCACCAGAGGGAUAGGGCAGCCCGAGUGAAUCUGCUAGUCAUCCUGGAGCCCCAAGAAUAAUUUGGGGACAGGCCCCCAUGUGGCUCAGGAGCCCAGAUGGUUACCUGGGCCCAGAAUCCCAGGUGUGAACAGCUGCUAAGGAGAUUCAAGAGAGUCCAGGAGAGGCUGGAAGCUCUCAGGCCUGGAGUGGUCAUUAGGGCUGGGCUCCUGAGGUCUGAGUGUUUGUGUGGGACAGGGAGAGGUAGGAGGCUCUGAGGCUGUUUAAAUGUUUCCUCACUCCAUCUUUACAGGCCUCCUGGGAACUGGGGGGCACAGAGCUUGCAGUGACAAUCAGGCAACCCAGCCGUGAUGUGCUGCAGAGUGUGGAGGAAGAGGAAAUUUGGUAUGUCCACAGAAUCCAUCUCAACACGGCAACACAGCCAGAUGAUCGGAGCAGGCACGUGGCACACAUUUGCCAUCCCUCACCUUGGAAGGUGUGUACAACUGGGACUUGCAAGGAUGGGAGACAGAGGGAGCAGGCUGAGCAGAGACACCGAGAGGGAAGAAAGCAUGGUAUAGGGCUAUGAGAAAGAAACCUGGACAGUUUCUCCUGCAGAGAUCCAAGGCCUGAGCUGAGGAGCCUGUGGAAAGAUUGGUCCAAUGUCAUGGAAAUCUGGAAUAAGAAACACCACCACCCAUUUUACUCUCACUGAAGAUAUCUGAAAAGGAAUGUUUCAUUUUAACUUCUUUUUUUCUUCCAUCUUUAUUUACUUAAAAUAGAAUUAGAUGAAGCCAAGAAAAGCAUGAAAGAACAAUGAGGUCCCAUUUUCACCUAUUAAAUAUUUAAGCAGAAGUGUAAAAGGCACGCUGACAAUGGUGGGGAGAUGGCUUGCUUCUAAAUGCUGGUAACAGGACAAAGCAGUCCAACCAGUGAAAAAAUUAUUUGGCCAUGAGGGUCAAGAGCUUUAAAAGCUUUCUUUAACUUUAACCUGAUCACCUCACUCUUUAGAAACAGCUCAUGAAAUCACAAAAUAAAACCUAGCUAGUGCCAUGUGUAAGAGACACAUCUAAAAUAGUGCUCCUCAAACAGAUUGAAAGUGGCAGAGAAGGAAAAAAUAGAAAACAGAACAAAUAUCACACAUGCAAAUACAGGUAACAACAACAACAGAAAAAGGGUUAUGAUAUUAAUAUCAGACACAGCUGAAUUCACAGAAAAUCAGAAGACAAGCCACAGGAGAAAAUGUUGUAAUGAUAAAGGCUGAGAGCCACAGUGAAGAUCUGUCAUAAAUAUUUAUGCACCAAAAAUAAAGUAUCAGAAUUUAUAAUGCAAAAAACGAGGAAGUACGUGGAGACAUGGACAGAAAUAUAGUAAUAGUAGAAAAUUCUCACUUACCUCUCUUAGUCCAUGAUCAAUAAAUCACACAAUAAGGAAGGAUAUGGAGGACUUGACUUGUUAACUUAGUAAGGCAGAUCAAAUUAAAAGAUAUCAAACUCUGUACCUUGAAAACCUAGAAUAUAUUCUUGUUAGUGCCUGUUGAUUAACAAAUGACCCCAUGACAGGCUGAGAAAAACAAAAGAACAAAAUCUCAGUACAUUUCAAAGUAGGAUGAAUACAGAUAACAUUCUCUAAUCACAAUGUAGUAAAACUAGAAAGUAAUAGCAAAAUCUGAGACUGAAAAGCAAUAGAAAAGUUGAAAAUUAAAUAAAAAGAAACAAACUAAAAGCUAUAUCUGAGUGAAAUAUUAUUCAGUCUUUAAAAUGAAGGAAACUCUGACAUAUGUUAUGACAUGACGUGAGGGGUCCUCGAAGACACUAUGUUAAGUGAAUUAAGCCAGUCACAGAAACACAAAUACGGUAUGACUUCACUUACAUGAGGUAUCCAGAGCAGUCAAAUUAAUAGAGACACGUGUAAUGGUUGUUUCCAGGGGCUGAGAGGAGUAGGGAAUGGGCAAUUGUUUAAUGGGUAUAGAGUUUCAGUUUUGCAAAAUGCAAAAGUUCAUCUUAUAUAUUGACAACGUUGUGAACAUACUAAACACUACUGAACUGUGCAUUUGGAAAGGGGUACGAUGAUAAAUUUUGUAAUAUAUGUAUAUUUUAAGAAAUUUUCUCUUUGUUAAUUCUCAAAGUGUAAAAUAUCUUUUAGAGGAAAUUUUUAAAAAAAGGAUAGUUCCCAAGGAAAUAGUGCGAAAGACAAGUCAAAGGAAUGAGCAUUUUUGUGGUUCUCAGCUAAGUUUCACAUAAUCUUCAGGGGAGGAUUUAGAGGGAUAAAAAGGAACAAGCUCUGAAACCGAUGCGUUGACAUGGCUCAAAAAAAUGUUGGUUUUCUGCCUGCACUUAUUCAACCACCUUAUGCGCCAGGCCCUAUAUUGGGCCCUGGAAAGACCAAGAAGAGUUAGUCUGUCCUCAGUGAGGGCAGCCUGCAGGGAGGCAGGCCUAGGGGAGACAUAUACUUCAUGAACUACAGUCAGGCUGGACCCUGCCUGAAGGGCUCCAGGAAGGGGAGGAGGAGGAGCAAGAGGCCCUAUUGGAGCCAGGACAUGGGAGCUGGCCUCUCAAAGGAGGCUAAAAUUUCACGAGAGGAAGAGUGCUGUGAAGGGCAGUGUAGGCGGAGGAGACUGCAGUGCAAAGGCCCAGAGAACAAGACUGAAAAUUCUGUUCAGCCCCAGCAGGUGCUUCCAAGCAGGAGAAGGAGAAGAAGAGGAAGUACAAACAGCCAAGGGUGGGUCCUUCUCCUCUCUGAAGUUAACACCCUCCUCUCCUGGAUUUCUGGUUGUGGCCCCCUCGAGGUGAUCAUAGUUAAGUCAUCUCACCUCUCAUCAACAGAAUGCAGCUUCCUCAUCAACACAAUGCCAGCUGGGUUCACGGGGAUCAGAUGAGGCACAGUGUGUUAAGAGUUUGGAGCCUCACACACAUUCAGCACACAAGAACAUUUUUUAUAGAUGCACAUUUAUAGGUGCACAUUUUUUAUAGAUGAACGAGCAUUCUCCAACUCACCUUUAUCCCUUAUUCUCUUUGAAGGCUUUUGUUGGGCUUGAUUCUUUCUUUCCUGAAGUUUCUUCCAAGAUUCCCUCUACACACUUACACAUAAGUUAUCAGCUCCCCGAGGAAAGAGAGAAAGUUGACUCUUCCUGCUCUCUCCAGGAUCUGACACUCAUCAGAUAGAAUGGCCUCCUUAGCUUCUGGCGGCCAGAUCAGAGUCACAGCCACUCCAUGGGGCCAACCACGGUGCCACGAACAGUUGGAGCCCCAGCGAACAUUACAGGAGUGGCCACAUCUUCUGUCUUCUGGUGUUUGGGGUUUUGCCUCCCGUACAUGGCAGGCAGCAUCCCUUGAACCUGGGAACUUAGUUUAUUUGUUAUCUGAUUGACGUGUCAACAAACAGUGGCAAAGGUUGCACUAGUGCCAAAUGCAGUGAGCUCCAGGACAAGGAGCACCUAAGCUUCACAGAGGAGCAGCGUGAACUGGGCUUGGAGUCAAGAAAGGACAAAGGGGUUAAAGAAAGAGAAUGCAGUUCAGGAGGAGAGCUUGGGGCCACUGGCAACAGUUGCAAGGCUGACCAACUGUUUCUCAUAAGGCCGUGCCUGGUGGCAGGGACACAGCCUCUAUUAACCUCCUCCAGAGGGUUCUUUGCAAAUCCUCCUCUCACUGCCUCAGCCCUCUUGGCCUUACAUCAUUGGCCAGAGCUUUCUCCCUAAGGAGAACAGAGUGCUUCCAGAGUCCCAGAGUGAGUGGUGAUAGAGCAGAGAUUAGGAUCUGACUGAGUUACAGUCCUAGCUUUUCUAUUCUUAACUCUUAGGCUUUUAUGGAGCUCUGGGGGUUGAGCUGCUUUUUAAAAGGCCAAAGGCAUGGUGGGUACAACUUGCUCACCAUUAGGAAAAAAAAUUAAGUUAGAGAUCUGAGUCAUGGCUGACAUUAGAAUAAAUUCCAGAUGGCUGAAACCUUUGAAUGUAAAAUAUAAAAUCAUAAAAAUAGUAAAAGAAGAAUAGAUAGAUGAAUGUUUAUUAAUAUCAUUUUGGAGUGGAAGGGAGUAGAGAAGACCAUUCUAAGUUCAACACCAAAGGCAGAUAAUAAAGAACAAAUUGACACUGGUUUCAAAAAAAAUCAUGCACAAGAAGUCUGGCACAAAAGUACAAGUGUUAAGAAAGAACUUCAAUUUCAAAAUUUCAGUAUUAAUGGAACCUGGGCCAUUCCUUGGGAUUGUUAAUUUGGAAACUGCAUUUGAAGUAUCUAAUGAAAUUUCCCCCUUCCUUAUCCUCACACCUACACUGAUCACCCAGCUGUGGGGGAGAUUCACUUCAAACCAGGCUCUUUGGCCAGAGGUAAGGUCUUGUUCCAAACAGCUAAAGUCCAGAAAGGGAAGAGGAUUGUCAUACCCAAAAGACAAGACAGGUCCUCUUCUUCCUUAGCUACACCCACCUCAUCUACCCCUAACCAAUACACUCCACUCCUCCACAAAGUUACUAGAUAGGGGCUCAGUAGUAAGAAUGCACAAUAAAGACAUGGACAAAUAUCUAGAAAACUACACAUGUGAAUAAAGUCAGGAUAAUGAAACAGGACCAUCACAAUCCACUAUCAGAAAAACUAACAUCAGGAAACAGAAUUAGGGGCUUCCCUGGUGGUCCAGUGACUAAGAUUCUGAGCUCCUAGUGCAGGGGGUUCAGGUUUGAUCCCUGGUCAGAGAAUUAGAUCCUUCAUUCGGGAACUGGGAGUUUGCAUGCCACAACUAAAGAUCCUGCAUGCUACAACAAAGAUCAAUGAUCCUGAGUGAUGCAACUAGGACCUGAAGCAGCCAAAUAAAUAUUAAAUAGGCAGAAUUAACAAAUACUAAAGAACAAGACUUCAGAUUCACUGCAAUUAAUAGGUUCACAAGAAAUGUGAAAGGAUAUUUCAUAUAUUUUGAAAAAAUCAACUGGAGAUUUUGGAAAUUUAAGAACUCAGUUUUUCAAAUAAAAAUUCAAUGGACUAAUCACAAAACAGAUAUUGCUGAAGGGUGAAUAAAAAAGUUGAAAGAUCAAAUGGAGAAAUUCUCCCAAAAUGCAGUUCAAAAGAACAGAGAUGGGCAAUAUAAAAGAAAAGUUAGAUAGGAAUUCCCCAG